GACGUAGGGGGCGAGCGUUGUCCGGAUUUACUGGGCGGAAAGCGCGCGUAGGCGGUCCGUUAAGUGCACAAGGGAAAGCUCCUGGCUCAACCAGGAAAUUGCUUUGCAUACUGGCGGGCUGGAGGGACGCAGAGGUCUGUGGAAUUCCUGGUGUAACGGUGAAAUGUGUUGAUAUCAGGAGGAACACCCAUGGCGAAGGCAGCAGACUGGGCGUUUCCUGACGCUGAGGCGCGAAAGCGUGGGUAGCAAACAGG
rnacentral:rRNA from 1 species